AUGAGGUUCCCUGCUCAGCUCUUGGGGCUGUUAAUGCUCUGGGUCCCUGGAUCCAGUGGGGAUAUUGUGAUGACCCAGACUCCACUCUCCCUGUCCAUCACCCCUGGAGAGCCGGCCUCCAUCUCCUGCAGGUCUAGUCAGAGCCUCCGGUAUAGUGAUGGAAACACCUAUUUGUAUUGGUACCUGCAGAAGCCAGGGCAGUCUCCACAGCUCCUGAUCUAUAGAGUUUCCAACCGGUUCUCUGGAGUGCCAGACAGGUUUAGUGGCAGUGGAUCAGGCACAGAUUUCACACUGAAAAUCAGCAGAGUGGAGGCUGAGGAUGUUGGGGUUUAUUACUGCAUGCAAGAUCUACAAGCUCCUCCCACAGUGAUACAGCCCUUAGCAGAAACCUCCCUCUUUGGAUGGCCCACCUGCCCACAUGCACUGCUUGUCUGGGAGUCCCCAAGGUUGAAAUGGGGUCUCAUGUGUGACUUGGAGCACGUAGGAGGAGCUGUCAGUGUGCUGAGGUGUGAGGAAACCCACUCUGUUCUCUGUGCUCUGAAACUGGAAGCAGGGUUCAGGAUCCCUGACACCAAGAAGGAGCACCAAAUUUACCAGCCAUUCCAGGUGGUGAUUCAAUUUUGUAAUCAACCCAUUCAGACAUAA